UAAUACGGGGGGGGCAAGCGUUGUUCGGAAUUACUGGGCGUAAAGGGCUCGUAGGCGGCCAACUAAGUCAGGCGUGAAAUCCCUCGGCUUAACCGGGGAACUGCGUCUGAUACUGGAAGGCUGGAGUUCGGGAGAGGGAUGUGGAAUUCCAGGUGUAGCGGUGAAAUGCGUAGAUAUCUGGAGGAACACCGGUGGCGAAGGCGGCAUCCUGGACCGAAACUGACGCUGAGGCGCGAAGCCAGGGGAGCAAACG
rnacentral:rRNA from 1 species